UCUACAAAGUUUCAGUAAUAAGUUAAAAAAGUAAAAUAGGUAGAGUGUAGUCAAUCUAACAUGCUAGUUAGGUGAAAUGGUCAGCAGUUGGUGGUAAUGAACUUCACUCAAGAAUAGUGACUCCCUAUUGGUUGAGAGGCGGGAUCUAAACAAACACACGGGAGAGCACAGAGAGAAAAAGAGAUGAGAAAGGAGGCCGACUUUGUCGAACUAACAGUGAAGUAAAAGAGAGAAAUUAAUAAGGAUGCUACAGCAGUAUUAAGAAGGUUGGACUCAUUGCUGGUCCCUGAAGACGAAACAAUGUGUUGCUGCUUUCCUGCUGCAUUGCACCAUGAUAAAAAAGAUGCUUUAAGAAACAGCUCAGGAAGAGUCGCCUUACGGUCGGACUCAUUGCUGGUCCCUGAAGACGAAACAAUGUGUUGCCGCUGUCCUGCUGCAUUGCACCAUGAUAAAAAAAGAUGCUUUAAGAAACAGCUCAGGAAGAGUCGCCUUACGGUUAUUGCAGGUUUUAUCUAGCUCAGUUUCUCCAGCUGCAUGUUUGUGAAGUGUCAGUGAGUGAGAUCCUUGUUUUGUGCGGACAUGUGAAACAUAUAAAUUGUCCGGUAAUUUGUCACUGUGGUUUAAGGCUGACAGGAUAUCACAUUAUUUUAGUCAACGUAACAACAUUGCAUAAGUGCGUAUAAUGAUAUUAUGGUAACAGGCGUUUAAUCAAAUGAAAGAAAAUGCUGUAUAUUCUCUAUAAGAAGCACCAAAAACAUUUAGUCCAGAUUAUUAAAGGUGAAUGGUAUAGAAUUGAAAGGCAUCUUAUAGUGAGGUAAUAGUGCAGAUUGAAACCAAGUGAGCACUCUUCAUCUCACCUUCACCUUCCAACUGUAGAGGCAACCUUCAGGUAAAGCAAAAGGCCAGUGUUAGGUGAUAGCUGUAUGCACUGUCUGGUUAACUGGCAGCUGUACAUAUGGAUGCAACUCCGGUACUUACCACAGGGAGUCUCUGCUGGACUUUCAAACAUCAACAACAUAUGGUCGUA